GCCAGGCAUGGUGGUGCAUGCCUGUAAUCCCAGCUACUCAGGAGGCUGAGGCAGGAGAAUUGCUUGAACCUGGGAGGCAGAGGUUGCAGUGAACUGAGAUCGCACCACUGCACUCCAGCCUGGGCAACAGAGCAAGACUCUGUCUCAA
rnacentral:SRP_RNA from 1 species